rnacentral:tRNA from 1 species
GUGGUCGUAGCUCAGCUGGUAGAGCAUCAGGUUGUGAUCCUGAGGGUCGCGGGUUCGAGCCCCGUCGAUCACCCCA